CCAUUUUAGUCUUGCCGUUAUCU
rnacentral:snRNA from 1 species